rnacentral:rRNA from 1 species
UAUCCGGAUUUAUUGGGUUUAAAGGGUGCGUAGGCGGCUUUUUAAGUCAGGGGUGAAAGACGGUGGCUCAACCAUCGCAGUGCCCUUGAUACUGAAGAGCUUGAAUGAACUAGAGGUAGGCGGAAUGUGACAAGUAGCGGUGAAAUGCAUAGAUAUGUCACAGAACACCGAUUGCGAAGGCAGCUUACUAUGGUUAAAUUGACGCUGAGGCACGAAAGCGUGGGGAUCAAACAGGAUUAGAUACCCUGGUAGUCCACGCCCUAAACGAUGAAUACUCGCUGUUAGCGAUACACAGUUAGCGGCUAAGCGAAAGCGUUAAGUAUUCCACCUGGGGAGUACGGUCGCAAGAUUGAAACUCAAAGGAAUUGACGGGGGCCCGCACAAGCGGAGGAGCAUGUGGUUUAAUUCGAUGAUACGCGAGGAACCUUACCCGGGCUUGAAAGUUAGUGAAUCAUUUAGAGAUAGAUGAGUCCGCAAGGACACGAAACUAGGUGCUGCAUGGCUGUCGUCAGCUCGUGCCGUGAGGUGUUGGGUUAAGUCCCGCAACGAGCGCAACCCCUAUGUUUAGUUGCCAGCACGUUAAGGUGGGGACUCUAAACAGACUGCCUGUGCAAACAGAGAGGAAGGAGGGGACGACGUCAAGUCAUCAUGGCCCUUACGUCCGGGGCUACACACGUGCUACAAUGGAUGGUACAGAGGGCAGCAAGCUGGUAACAGCAAGCAAAUCUCCAAAAGCCAUUCACAGUUCGGAUAGAGGUCUGCAACUCGACCUCUUGAAGUUGGAUUCGCUAGUAAUCGUAUAUCAGCAAUGAUACGGUGAAUACGUUCCCGGCCCUUGUACACACCGCCCGUCAAGCCAUGGAAAGUUGGGGGUACCUAAAGUAUGUAACCGCCAAGGAGCGUCCUAGGGUAAA